rnacentral:sRNA from 1 species
UGUUGCCAUCCGAACCUAGAAAUGCGUAAGAAUUACCAGCCAGCUUGCAUGUGCCUCAGUGCUCAUCUCCCACCUCACUUGUCCCUCAGGCUGGACUCAAAGCAUCGGGUGAAACGUUGAGUUGUGCUCUGCCAG